AUUGAACGCUGGCGGCAGGCCUAACACAUGCAAGUCGAGCGGAUGAAGGGAGCUUGCUCCUGGAUUCAGCGGCGGACGGGUGAGUAAUGCCUAGGAAUCUGCCUGGUAGUGGGGGAUAACGUCCGGAAACGGGCGCUAAUACCGCAUACGUCCUGAGGGAGAAAGUGGGGGAUCUUCGGACCUCACGCUAUCAGAUGAGCCUAGGUCGGAUUAGCUAGUUGGUGGGGUAAAGGCCUACCAAGGCGACGAUCCGUAACUGGUCUGAGAGGACGACCAGUCACACUGGAACUGAGACACGGUCCAGACUCCUACGGGAGGCAGCAGUGGGGAAUAUUGGACAAUGGGCGAAAGCCUGAUCCAGCCAUGCCGCGUGUGUGAAGAAGGUCUUCGGAUUGUAAAGCACUUUAAGUUGGGAGGAAGGGCAGUAAGUUAAUACCUUGCUGUUUUGACGUUACCAACAGAAUAAGCACCGGCUAACUUCGU
rnacentral:rRNA from 1 species